rnacentral:rRNA from 1 species
UACAGAGACUGCAAGCGUUAUUCGGAUUCACUGGGCGUAAAGGGUGCGCAGGCGGCCGAGUGUGUGAGGCGUGAAAGCCCGGGGCUUAACCCCGGAAUUGCACCUCAAACUACACGGCUAGAGCAUUGGAGAGGGUAGCAGAAUUCAUGGUGUAGCAGUGAAAUGCGUAGAUACUCAUGAGGAAUACCAGAGGCGAAGGCGGCUACCUGGACAAUUGCUGACGCUCAGGCACGAAAGCGUGGGGAGCAAAAGGG